UACAGCAGGUGCAGAGAAGGCAUUUGGCCCAGCUGGAAUGUUUUGGGGGGCUGCUUGGAGAGUACAGGCCAAGGGCUCUGAAAACUUCCUGUCCAGCACCAGCUUCUUUCUCUUCCUACGCAGUCAACUCUUUGAAAGAGCACUUGCCACUCACUGGCGACUUCCAAAUGCUUCUGUUGCAUGGACAACUCCAGAGACACCACGCACUUCAUAUUCUAUAGGCUAUCACAGCACCCCCUGAAGUUGUGCAGCCUAGAGGCCCUGCUCGCAGCACUCCUCAGACACCAGGACCAUAUUUUUGUCCCCACCAACUCCUUCAUGUUGAUAACCCCAGCGCAGAUUCCCUCCUCCAAAGCCUAGUUAUGCAAUUAAAGGGCUCCAUGUUCCUUCAACAUGUCCAAGCCUGAGCCACCUUUUCCCCAAAUUUGGAUUUUCUCUAGUGUCUCCCAUCCUGACCAAUGCCACCACUCCCACCCACAUGGCUAUGGGGACAUGGGGAUCAUGCAUUUCCUUCUACACCUUCACUUUUCCCCUAAUGGGAAAGGUGACCAUGAGGUGGCCUGUCAGCCUUACCUCUUCAAUAGUCCUCCAGCUGUCCCCUCCAUCCCCGCCCAGAUCCCCCAUCAGGACAGUUUGACACCAUGUCCUGGGCAGUUUCUUUUUCUCUAGCAUCCCCCACUCCCUCCAAAUAACCUUCCCUGCUGCUCACUGGGUUCAGGGAUCUCAAAUGCAAAUUUGAGCUUUUAAUUCCAUUUGCCAGUGGCUCCCACCACCUACAAGACCACACUCACAGCCUUAGCCUAAAGGAGAAGGUUCUUCUGGAUCUCACCCCUGCCUCCUGCGCCAGUCCCUUUCCUUCCCUUCCACACCCUCCCUCCUUCUCCCCUCCCGCCCUCACAUCCCCUGCUGUCCCCAAUAUGCCACACCUUGCCACGUCUCCGGACCUCUGUCCACGCUGGUUCCUCAUCCCCAAAUGCUCUUCUCUCUCUUCAUUCUUUCAAGGCAGCUCAUGUGUCCUCCUCUACAAAGCUUCUCUGGGCCCCUCAGAACCUGUGCGUGCUUCUAAUAGGUAACCUGCACUGGACAGCAGCGUUCCAGGGUCUCUUGUGUACAAGAAUGAAAGGGUAAGAGUGACAUGUGCCCCUUAGUGCCUCUGUGCUUGGAACAGUGCCAAGUACCUAGUCCUGGAUGCAACAAAGUAAAAGGAGUGAAAUUCAUGAAUUAUUAUAUUACACUUCUUGGAGGUGAAGACGCAGAAAUUGAGUUCUACAGCAGGUACUGUAAGAUCUGAGCUCAUGAUUCAAGGCUGGGCCUAAGAGAACAGGCACAUGUAAUGCAGCAAUCACUAUGCAGCCACAUGCCAGAGGGUAGAGAGAGCAGGGCAGUCACACCAAUGGGGUUGCUGCCAGUCCACUCAGGCUAAAGGACUCCCAGGGGCGAGGUUGUUGGGCUAGAGAUGUCCCAAGGACAAAAAGGAAGAGGCAGAAGGUCCAAGGAUUAGAGUGGAAAGUAUGCUAUGCCUGACUGACCCUCAGAAGGUCUGGGUUCUAGGCUCGCCCAGCUCAGGCACUGUGUGUUCUCUGGACAAGUCCAUCCGUUCAACUCUGGGUCUCCGUCUUCUUGUCUAUCAAAUGGAGAUAGUCCUCUUCAAGCUGAUUUCAUUCAUUGAUGUCCUGGGUCUAUCACUCUCAUUAACAUAGUACAGUCAGUACUCAUUUCAUUGC
rnacentral:lncRNA from 1 species